rnacentral:ncRNA from 1 species
GAUAACUGGCUUGUGGUGGCUGAGCAUUCACGGCCACGUCGCUUUUUGGUCCUUCGAUGUCAGCUCUUCCUAUCAUUGUGAAGCAGAAUUCACCAAGUGGUGGAACGCCCACCCACUAGUAGGGAACAUGAGACAGGUGA